GAAAUAGUAUCCCAAAGCCAAUCAUCAGCCUGUUGAUGGUUGUGCUAUUUCCUGUAUUAGUAUAUGAAUUAUAAAUAAAUAAAAAUUAUUUUGAUAUUUUUCAUCAUAAAUUGUUUCAUCUUCUAAUGAACUCCUGUGUUGUGGUGAAGUCUUUAGGACUAUUUAGACUCGACAAAAGAAGAUUUAUCGUUUAGUCCUUAAACCAGUUCGCGACCAAACGAUACGUUGUUACCAAGGACAACAACGUUUAUCAAGUAUAGGUCAUUGUGUGCCAUAUGGGUUGGUUGUCCUCUUAACCAAGGAGUGUGGAGACACUGGUAUGGCAUAUAGGUGAGAUGUAAGGGUACAUCUGCACUAAACGUGACCGACUCUGAAACUUUUUCUGCUGUCA
rnacentral:lncRNA from 1 species